rnacentral:rRNA from 1 species
UACGUAGGUGGCAAGCGUUAUCCGGAAUUACUGGGUGUAAAGGGAGCGCAGGCGGGAUAGCAAGUCAGCGGUGAAAAUUAUGGGCUCAACCCAUAAACUGCCGUUGAAACUGUUAUUCUUGAGUGGAGUAGAGGCAAGCGGAAUUCCGAGUGUAGCGGUGAAAUGCGUAGAUAUUCGGAGGAACACCAGUGGCGAAGGCGGCUUGCUGGGCUCUAACUGACGCUGAGGCUCGAAAGUGUGGGGAGCAAACAGG